rnacentral:lncRNA from 1 species
AGCGCGGCGAGCGACGCGUCACCAGAUUCCGCGCAUCAUCGCUCGACGCCGACAGUGGCAAACACUACCAUCACGACCCUGUCUCCGGAGCUUUUUUCGACGCGCCCGCACAAUAUCGCCCCCGAAAAACGCGUCAACUCCGCGCGGAUCGCACGCUUCCCACCGCAAGACGGCAACGCCAUCCAUUUUCGGGGCCGGCACGUUAAGUUAUGUGAAUUCGUUACUCGUUCGUCAAAAUACGAUAAAAACAUGGUUUUCAACCGCAGCAGCUUGCUCCUUCUUCUCCUUGCAACCUUUGUAGCAACGGUUGUAUGUGAAUGCACUUCAGAAAAUAUUGAAAGUUUAGACCAAAUGGGUGAGACCGCUAAGAACGAUGUGAAUGCGUUCCUUAAGAAACUGCUUACAAGUUAUAAAGAUCUGGGCCCUGAGGCUAAGGCGAAGGUGGCUGCAAUCUCCAAAGCAAUGCAGGAGCAGAUGAAGCAAAUAGUGGAUAUCACUAAACUUGAUACGAAAAACACUGGCAAAGUCACGGGCAUUUUUGGAUAGGUACCUAGCAUGCGUCAAAACUAUGAAUACCUAGACUUCAUUUUGGAAAAAGGAACUAUUAUUUCUGGCUUACCGAUAAAAACACUUAUCUGCUUAGCAAAAUUAAAGGCACAAAACGAUGGCCGAAGAAAUGGACCACCUAACUGACAAUUUUGGUGAAAAUGAGUUAGGGACAGUGCCUCAUUCUACAGUAUAAAAUAUGUACGCAAGCUGAUAUUUUUAGUUUUUUCCUAUUGCACCUUAACCAUCGAUAAGUCGUUGUGAAAUGAAUCAGAGAUAGGUAUUAAUUUUGUAUUGCAAACUGUAAUCCAUGCACACUAACCGUGUAGCCAACCUUUCACACCAAGUUUGUAUCAUGGUUGGGAAUAGGAAGAAAGGGGUUGAGGGGGAUUGAUAUUGGAUCAAGCUUUUUUUUUUUUUUUUUUUUACUCAAACAGUCUGAUAUUUAAAAUUUUAUAGUGGCUAAAUAGACUUGCAUAAGGAAAAGAGUUUGUGUAUAAUUACAGGUGGUUUUAUAUUUCCAUUACUGGUUUUUCAUGAUUAAGAAAUUUUAAAUUAUUCUAUGACUUUUCAUUUCGUGGUACUAAUUUGUGUUUUCACACAGUUUCCUUUUCGAGUUUCAAUAUUGAAAUAAGAGAGAAAUCAUUAUAUUGUCAGUACAAAAAUAUUCAUAGUUUUUUUUUUUUUUUUUCAAUAAUAAAUAUUUCAUUAAAUUGAAUGUGGCAACAUUCAAAUGUUCUUACAGUGUUUCUCUUCAGAGUAACAAGUCACAUUUUAUUGUUUGUAAUUUUGGCUCCCUCCAAUACUUCCUAUAUUCUGAAACUGUACAAUUUUCCAUUUAGCCUUAUUUUGGGUUUACAAGAGUCAUCCUCCUCCAUUGUCAGGCACCUCUAGACCUCUCCCUCCUUCUAAGUGCCUAACAUACCUUGUGGCUUAUUUCUGGGACUUUACCAACUUAAUUACAGCCCUCUGUCAGUCAUCAAUUUUAAACCUGUUUGGCUUGAAUUAAAAAUAUAUGUAAAUAAACUUCUAAUGGGCACCACAAAUAAAGUAAACAUUCGUCUCUCAGAUGGUAUUUCCCUGACAUCGUUGAUUUUUCUCAUUAAUUAAUGAUUGAAGGCAAGGAGGCAUAAGUUGUUGAUGAUGGUACGAACAGUCCUACAAAAGGGGAGUAUUUGAAAUUUAAUAUUUUAAAAUUGCACUCAAUACAUUUCAAAAUUAAUAUUUUUAGUGUUAAUAUUAUGGGAAGUCAUAUAAUAGACUCAGAGAUGAGUCCAAGAUAUUUUCCAUUUUAGUUUGUAAUAUGAACUUGAAGCGAAAAUAAAUGAAGUCAAAAGAAAUUAACAAAUUAUAGAUAUGUGAAUUAAGUAUUUAUUGAAUUUUUUUUUCAGAGUACUUUGGUUAAAUAUAAAAUAGGUAAUAAAUAUACAAAAUGUAAAAUAAGGAUUCAAAUUUUAGCACUGGUAGAAUAUAGUGGAAAAUAUAUGCUAAUGUGCCAGCAACAAAAAUAGGAUAAUGUCUUUAGGAGUUUGUAAAAUAUUACAACUACUAACUUUGACGUGAAGAGCAGUAGGUAAAGAAAACGAAAGACCUGAAAAGCUGGCAGCAAGUAACAAGAAGGAGAAAAAAUUCUUUCUUUUUAGUUAAAACUCCUGCAAAAUCUGAUGAAAGACUUUCUAAAAAGUACAUUAAUGGUAGUAAAUACGUAUCCUAAAAAAUUAAGAUUUCUACUAAUGAAUGCACCUAAGUAACCACUUUUACACGCUUACAAGCCUAAAAAAAAUUAAUCACAGCAAAUUGAAAUUAGAGACUCCUCAGAUGGCUAAAAUGAAGCGUUCUUAGAGGAGACAUUAAAGUUUUUGGAAUUUUCAUGACGUGUUGGCAAGUGCUCUUUUUCUCUCAAACUUUGAUGAAUUUGGAUAGAGCCUUAGAUAUUGACUAGACAGAGUGACAAGGAAUCAGCCUAACUACAUUCGACGUUGCCUAAUUUUCUCUUAAUUUUUUUUCUGUAAACUAAGGAACACUGAUACUUGAAAUGUUGUGAGUAUUUAGUUACAAUUUAGGCUAUAUAGGUAUUUGCAGGAAGUUUAUAUUCGUUAAGCAAUUUAGUUUAUUUUAAAAAAUAAAAUAUGAGAGAAAAUUGGGCAACACAAAAUGCUGUUAGUCAGUCUCCACUUAAAUCAGUCCAACUUUAAUUUUUGAACUUGAUCUUACAUAAUGGAAGAUGGUAAAGUGCACUUCAUCUCCCUGUAAAACAUCAGAGACACUAUUCAUUUUGAUAAAUCAGUAAAAAAUUAUACUGAAAACAUUCCUGAGACAGCACAAUUUAGUAAAAAAAUAAGGUGACCCAGGUCCUAUUUUUCACUUACCUAUUUCAACACCUAUGGGGUGACACCGUGGACAAAAACAUCCGUGAUAUAAAAGAAGGAAAUUCAUGGGGGGGAAAAAAUAUUUUUAAAAGUUUCAAAUAUUUAAUACAAACUUAAAGAAAAAUAUAUAAUAUUUCCACUUUCGUAUUUCCCGCCGAGUACCUCCUCAACGCCACGAUUCCAUCGUUCAACGCAACGGUGCCAAUAGUGCGUCGAUAUUAUUGUUUUUUUUUUAUUAUCACCGCAUGAAUCCUCUGUUUUGUCUGGACUCCGAUGUCCGGUUAUUUAUUUAUGGUUAGGUGUGAGGUGAGGUGAUCGGGUGAAUCCAUUCUCCAAGGAAAUAAAGACCAGUCGACUUUUGUGCUGAAGGUAAGUUUCUGUUCCUCCCUAUCAUAACGUCGAGUUGUUUUAAUUCAACCACUUAUUCCCUUUCUCUGAACUCGAAUAUUAACUUAACCUCACUUCUCUGUCAUAUCCAACUUCGUUGGUCACUUCAGAGGUGGCUAAUUUAUUUGAGGAAAUUACAGUGCAACAACUUCACCCUAAAAUUGUAGCAAUUGAAUAAUGUUUUGUUUCUCAUUUGCAACUGAAUGUUCUAAAUAAAUAGAGGUGUCGUCAGCGAAGUUGACGGUUGUUUACUUUCGGUUUGCAGGCGUUUUCGCGUAACUACUAUCCACAUGAAAACAUCUGACUCUCUCAGAAGCAAGAACACAAGCUUAGAUACGUUUUUAAAUACUUUCAAACCUUUUAAUACUUUCAUUUUUAGCCAAACAGAAAUCACAACCACAAAAAAGUCGCAAAUCAUAACUAAUAAGUAGUUUUUUUACGAUACGACCAUCAGACUGAUGUUUUCAGUGUGGAUAGUAGCGAACGCCGCCUUGUUCAGAGGCCCAAAUUCGUCGUUGGCGCUUGCCAACCAAAAGUAAACAACCGUCAACUUAGCUGACGACACCUCUAAUUCUAAUUAUCUCCAACUGAAUUCUUAAGUAUUUCAUCUCGAAAUGCUGAGCAUCUUUUGGCUUUCAAGAGGCUUUUGAAAUCUGAUGCCGCAAUCACACGCUGAAUUUAGCAGCUGAAUGUGGGAGUCAGCAGUAAUCGCCCAAUGGCUGAAAUUUAGCAGAUUCGAGUUAUUUUCAUCCAGAUGUGUAUCAAAUGUACUCGAAUAGUUCCAACAAAUUCAAAAUUGGUCCGAUGGUUGCUGAGAAUCGUUGCUGAAUUUUGCGCAUCACGCGCAAAAUUAAGCCAUCGGGCUGAUGACUCCCACAUUCAAGCCACAUUCAGCUCCCACAUUUAGCGUGUGAUUGCGGCGUCACACUGAUUCUAACGUCAGCAUGGAAUACCUAAUGCUUAGAAUGCUAAAACAAAAAACUACCAAUGCUGGUGUUAAUCUCACUUAGGCUCAUUCGCACUGUUCAUCCCUCUAUUUGGUUAAAAAGUUAGAAUCUGCAGAGAUUUUUAACUCAAUUGUUGCGAUAUAUCGCACGCCAGUUCUGUCAGGCCAGACACCUGGAUAAAUCACCUUAAGACAAAUUUUUUCUCUUUCAAAAGAGGGUGACACCUUAUCUUAUCCGUGCCUCUAACAAAAGUGUAGUGGACCGGAAAAGUCCCCCAUAAUGUCUUACGUAAUCCUUCAAUACCCCCUUGGUGUUUUCUAAACAUGAACCUUUUAAAAAUUGUCCGGGCCGUGUCACAAUAAAUACCUAUCUCUUUUUAAUUCACUGUUCAAAAAUCGUCAGAACUUCUAGAACCAGGUUUUUGUACCUUAAGUAUCUGUGUUUCCAGUUGAGAUACAAAAAACACAAUUAUCUCUCGAGUUUCAUUUCUAAUUAUAUAUUUAUGUUUCAGGGCUUUUUU